GUCAUGGCUCAGUGAUUCAGUAUCUGCUUAGCAUACAGAAAGUCCCAAGUUCAAUCCCUGGCAUCUCCA
rnacentral:tRNA from 1 species